AGUGAACGCUGGCGGUAGGCCUAACACAUGCAAGUCGAACGGCAGCACAGUAAGAGCUUGCUCUUACGGGUGGCGAGUGGCGGACGGGUGAGGAAUACAUCGGAAUCUACUUUUUCGUGGGGGAUAACGUAGGGAAACCUACGCUAAUACCGCAUACGACCUACGGGUGAAAGCAGGGGAUCUUCGGACCUUGCGCGAUUGAAUGAGCCGAUGUCGGAUUAGCUAGUUGGCGGGGUAAAGGCCCACCAAGGCGACGAUCCGUAGCUGGUCUGAGAGGAUGAUCAGCCACACUGGAACUGAGACACGGUCCAGACUCCUACGGGAGGCAGCAGUGGGGAAUAUUGGACAAUGGGCGCAAGCCUGAUCCAGCCAUACCGCGUGGGUGAAGAAGGCCUUCGGGUUGUAAAGCCCUUUUGUUGGGAAAGAAAAGCAGCAGGUUAAUACCCCGCUGUUCUGACGGUACCCAAGGAAUAAGCACCGGCUAACUUCGUG
rnacentral:rRNA from 1 species